CUACAUCUAUGGACAUGAAUAAAAGAAUGUAACUAAUUACAGUGUAUUUGAUUUUUUAUCACAAUCUACGAGUAUGUAGUCGUAACGAAUGAUAUUUCAGAACAGACGUAUCGUCCCUAAAAUGAUCGACCAACUGUCAAUAAUUUUAUUUCUUAGUUUAGCCGGUUUUACUUUUGGAGUGAAUUUCCUCUACAACUGUCGUGAAUUACAUGAGCAACCUCCUACCACAGAUAAUAUGCAACUAGAUAUAAAGAAAGUCUCGUUUUGGGCCAAAUACUUUGGUUUUACUUGCGAUUUUGACACAUAAAGAAAUGCGCAUAAGUUACACACAUGGAACGGGACACCAUCCCAUCAACUAGCUUAAUGAAUCUGUGAUUAAAAUAUUCUUGGUAAAGGUAUCUUUAAUUUACCCACCUAUAUACAUUUUAGCCAUAUUGGUCAUAUAUUACUAUUUUAAAGAUGUAAACGUUGAAUUGUGCAGAACCAAUUGGGCAAGGAACCUUUUUUAGGGUAAGGGCUAUUGCAGGUCGACACUUGGAAAGGAUUGGGUUUGGAUGACGUUAUGCAACAGUCUGUCGCAAGUAAUUUUAAUUUACAAGUCACUUGCACAAAAAUAUAAAUCAUAAAAAAAAUAUUAAUGUUGUUACAUUCAUAUUUCGUUUAAUUUAAGAUCUGUCAAGAUGUUUAAAAACAGCAAUAUCCAUAAACACAAUUUUCCUGAAAAAUACACAUUUAUUACAAACAACAAAAAUGUAAACUAGUGUAAUUAAUUGGCUUUGAUUGAAGGAAAUAUAAGAUUUACAUGAUAUGUUUUAGUCAUUAAAAUUCCGAUUCUCACCGGCUUGCCUAAUUCUUUGAAAGCUAGGCACAUUUUCUACAAUUCGUCAAAAAUUUAGUUUUCGAAA